rnacentral:rRNA from 1 species
GACGAACGCUGGCGGCGUGCCUAAUACAUGCAAGUCGAACGCACUGGGGACGGGUGAGUAACACAUGGGUAACCUCCCAUCAGAGGGGAUAACACUUGGAAACAGGUGCUAAACCGCUAAUGAUGGAUGAACACGCGGUGCAUUAGCUAGUGGGUGAGGUAACGGCUCACCAAGGCCACGAUGCAUAGCCGACCUGAGAGGGGGAGCGGCAACAUUGGGACUGGGAAACGGCCCGAACUCGUCCGGGAGGCAGAAGUAGGGAAUCUUCGGCAAUGGAGGAAAGUCUGACCGGGCAACGCCGCGGAAGUGAAGAAGGUUUUCGGAUCGUAAAACUCUGUUGUUAGAGAAGCGGUAUCUAACCAGAAAGCCACGGCUAACUACGUGCCAGCAGCCGCGGUAAUUC